UAACUUUUAUCAUAGGUAAUAAAAGUGCGGUGACAAGUUUGAUUUGUUAUUCGGCAAUAAAAUCUAAUGUAGGAAGGGGCUUAGGAAGUAGGAGUGAGGGAGUGGAAAGGGAAGAGGGAAAAUGCAAAGCAAGUGUAGGAGUGACCCAUGUGAGAGUUUGAUUGGAUUAGAUCAGGCUCAGUUCUGUGACUUCCUAGGAUUAUGCGACAAUAGCCAGAAUCAUCCACCACAAUAUCACAGUAUUCACCUACUUAUUCCCUUGGGCUGGCUCUGCCUCCAAAUGCCUGUUGUAGGCAAUUAAUGCUACUCGGUCUACCUGCCCCACUGUUCCGAGCACCCAAAUGAAACACACACACACACACACACACACACACACACACACACACACAGAUCACACACACACACAGAUCACACACACACAGAUAUCACACACACACACAGAUCACACACACACACAGAUCACACACACACACAGAUCACACACACACGCACAGAUCACACACACACACAGAUCACACACACACACAGAUCACACACACACAGAUCACACACACACACAGAUCAUACACACACACAGAUCACACACACACACAGAUCACACACACACACAGAUAUCACACACACACACAGAUAUUGAAAGACCCCAGCUUAGCAGCAGUAACGCCAUUUUGCAAGGCUAUAUUUAAGAUGACUGGUUCAGAAAAAGGUUAGAACACUGAGUACAAAGCGGCUGCCAAGCAGGAUGUGUUUGGUUGAAGGCCUGGCAACAGGACGACUGCGGUUGAGCACCUGACAAUGAAAAAAGCCCCGGGAGAGGUCCCACACCCUGGUGGGGGGCCGAGUUAGUCGUUAUGUUCCAAGAAGGUAGCUAAGAAACUUGCCCCCAGGCUGAACCCUUGGGGGGCCGAGUCAGUCCUUAUGUUUCAGGAAGGUAGCUAGGAAACUUGCCCCCGGGCUAAACCCUUGCCAUAUUAGAAUCCACCAAUUAUAUCCCUGUAACCAUGCAUCUGCUUCUGUAUGCUUGCUUCUGCUCCCCAAAAUCCUAUAAAAGCCCAUCCUUGGUUCCAUGGGGCGCGCCAGUCCCCCGAGUGACUGAAGCGCCCGCAGGUGCCUGUGCCUGUGUAUCCCGACAAUAAACCAAAUCCUCUUGCUGAUUGCAUCCUGUGGUGUCUCGGUCUGGUCUUUGGAGUUGGAGGGUCUCCAUCCUGAGGGAAAGUUCUCCCUGAGAGCUUUUCAUUUGGUGCGUUGGCCGGGAAAGGAGAUCCUCCACCCAGGGACCACCGACCACCCACUGGGAGGUAAGCCGGCCGGCAUCUGUCUGUCUGUCUGAUUUUGUCUCGUUCUGCCUUAUUCUGUCUGUUCUGUGAGCGCUCAACCGGGUCUGUUCUGUGAGCGCUCAGCCAGGUCUGUUCUGUGAGCGCUCAGCCAGGUCUGUUCUGUGAGCGCUCAGCCAGGUUGUUUGGAAUUUGGGUGGGACGAAGAAGGAGCUGACGAGCUCGGACUUCUCGCCCCGCAGCCCUGGAAGACGUUCCAAGGGUGUUAGGGGCCCGACUUUUCGGGGCCCAAUCUGGGAGGAGAAAGAUCCGGACUAACGGCACCUCUGUCUGUAUUUUUGGCUUUCAGAGGGCCCCGGACCUUUGCCACCUCCAUCUGACUUUUUGCUUUCAGUUUGGUACCAAAGCCGUGCAGCACGCCUGUCUGUUGUUUGUUUGACUGUUGGUGUUGUUUGUUUUCUCUGUGUUCUAAUCUUCCUUAGAACUAACAUGGGACAGUCCCUAACAAUGCCCCUAAGUCUCACUCUUGCCACGACCGGGCACACAACCAGUCCGUCGAGGUUAAAAAAAAAAAAGGAAAAGGACAGACUCUCUACACAUCCGAGUGGCCCACUUUCGGAGCGGGAUGGCCAGUGAAUGGCACAUUUAAUAAGAUCAUUAUUUUACAGGUUCAAGAUUGGGUCGUCCACGGACAUCCUGACCAGGUUUCUUAUAUUAUCACUUGAGAGAGUCUCGCCUUAACCCCCCCCCCGGGCGGAACCCUUCGUGGACCCGAAUUGGCCUCCCCUCAACCCCCAGCCUGUCCCCUCGGCCCCGCCCGGUCCGCCGGCCACGUCUUCCUCUCUCUACCUUUGUGAAAUCAGAGCCUUCUAAGAAACCUGUCCUCCCGGCAGACCCAAACUCCCCUCUCAUAGAUCUUCUCUCUGACAGGCCCGGCUAAAACGGAGGAGGCAGAGCCGCCGGCCAGAUCAGUUGCCGGGCCACAGUCUGAUAAGGGUUUCUCCCCUGUCGCAGGGAGAUUGCGCAAUAAGCGCGAGGUGAUGCCAGAUUCAACCUCCCAGGUUUUCCCACUUAGACAGGGAACCGGUGGCCAGACCCAAUACUGGCCGUUUUAAACAACACAACCCUUCUUUCUCCAAAGAUCCGGUGGCACUCACCGACCUAAUAGAAUCUGUUUUACUUACCCACCAGCCUACUUGGGAUGACUGCCAACAGCUCUUACAGGCCCUCUUAACCUCAGAAAAAACAAAAAAAACAAGGAGUGUUCCUAGAGGCCAGAAAGCAUGUUCUGGGAGAUGAUGGGCGUCCCACCCAGCUGCCUGAGGACCAAACUGGGAUUUUAAUACAGCUGAAGGUAAGGGACACCUACGCCUUUAUCGCCAGUUGCUUCUAGCGGGUCUCCGAGGGGCUAUACGACGCCCUACUAAUUUGGCUCAGGUAAAACAGGUAUUACAGGAAGCAGGGGAAACUCCCUCCGCCUUUCUAGAGAGACUUAAGGAGGCCUACCGUAUGUACACUCCCUAUGACCCAGAUGACCCAGGACAAAUGACGAGUGUCUCUAUGUCCUUCAUCUGGCAGGCUGCUCCAGAUAUCAGGACUAAGUUACAGAGGUUAAAAAAUUUGCAGGGCUAUACAUUACAGGAUUUACUUAAAGAAGCUGAAAAGAUUUUUAAUAAGAGAGAAAAUUGAGUCGAAUCUUGGCCGCCGUAGUUCAGGGCCAAGAAAGGAAGGGAGAUAGGGGGGAGCUCGAAAGGGGCUGAAGCUGGAUAAAGAUCAAUGUGCCUAUUACAAAGAGAAAGGACACCGGGCCAGAGAGUGCCCCAAGAAGCCUGGCGGACCCCGAAAGCCUCGACCACGAACCUCCCUCUUGGCUCUAGAUAAAGAUUAGGGAGGUCAGGGCCAGGAGCCCCCCCCUGAGCCCAGGGUAACGCUUAAAGUUGGGGGGCAGCCGGUUACUUUCCUGGUAGACACAGGAGCCCAGCAUUCAGUCCUCACCCAAGCUUCAGGACAACUCAGCGACCGGACGGCCUGGGUACAAAGAGCUACUGGUGAGAAACAAUACCGAUGGACUACGGACUGCCGGGUUCAGCUGGCUACUGGUAAGGUGACCCAUUCCUUCUUACAUGUUCCGGACUGCCCGUACCCUCUGCUGGGCCGUGAUCUGCUCACCAAACUAAAAGCACAAAUUCAUUUUGAGGAAGGAGGGGCCCAAAUAACUGGCCCCCACGGAACUCCCCUUCAAGUUCUAACCCUAUGAACCGGGACAGGACACUGGCUUGGGCAGAGACUGGUGGGUUGGGGUUGGCGCUCCAACAGCCCCCCUUAAUUACACAGUUAAAGGCCACUACAACUCCAGUCUCCAUAAAACAAUACCCCCUGUCACAUGAAGCUUAUCAAGGUAUAAGGCCUCACAUUACGAGGCUUCUAGAUCAAGGCAUCCUAAUCCCCUGCCGGUCGCCUUAGAAUACGCCUCUUCUGCCUGUUAAGAAACCCGGCACUGGAGAUUAUAGGCCAGUACAAGACUUGAGAAAGGUCAACAAGAGGAUAGAAGAUAUUCAUCUGACUGUUCCAAACCCUUACAAUUUGCUCCUGACUUUAGGGUUCAACAUCCCACCCUCAUACUCCUGCAAACCUUUUGAACUGUUCAUCGAUGAGAAACAGGGGUAUGCUAAAGGGGUCCUAACACAAAGGUUGGGACUCUGAAAACGCCCUGUGGCCUACCUGUCUAAGAAAUUGGACCCUGUGGCCUCCGGCUGGCCACCGUGCCUAAAGAUGGUGGCUGCUAUUGCUGUCCUGAUCAAGGAUGCUAGAAAAUUGACUUUGGGACAGCCACUCACCAUCCUAGCACCCCACGCAGUGGAGGCCUUGGUAAAACAGCCCCCAGACCGCUGGCUCUCUAAUUCCCACAUGACCCACUACCAAGCCUUGUUACUGGAUGCAGAACGGGUUCAGUUUGGGCCCGUAGUUGCCCUCAAUCCUGCCACCUUGCUUCCCCUACCAGAGGAGGCAAAACAGCAUGACUGCCUACAAAUCCUCGCAGAAGUACAUGGAACCAGGCCGGACCUAUCGGACCAGCCUCUUCAGAAUGCUGACCACACAUGGUACACGGAUGACAACAGCUUCUUGGCAGAGGGAGAGUGAAAGGCUGGAGCUGCGGUCACUACGGAGGACAAAGUGAUUUGGGCGAAAGCCCUGCCUGCUGGUACCUCCGCACAACGGGCUGAACUCAUCGCCUUGACUCAGGCGCUCAAGAUGACAAAAGGUAAGAGGCUAAAUAUAUAUACAGACAGCCGUUAUGCCUUUGCCAUGACACACAUCCACGGGGAGAUCUACCGGAGGCGGGGGCUGCUCACAUCUAAAGAUAAAGAUAUUAAAAAUAAGGCUAAAAUUCUGGCCCUCUUAGAAGCCCUAUUCUUGCCCAAAAGACUGAGUAUUAUACAUUGUCCAGGACACCAGAAAGGGCACAACCCAGAGGCACGAAGAAACCGGCUGGCCGAUGCCACGGCUCGAGAAGCGGCCAUGAGCAAAUAAAUCUUGCCCUUAAAUAGCCCAGACCAACCCACGCCCCCACCAAUGGGACAAACCAGUUGGGUUUAUGCCCAUGAGGACAUAGAGCUCCUAAAAAAAAAUGGGGGCCAUCUACCACCCUCAACUAAAACAGUGGGUCUACAAAGGAAAGACAGUUAUGCCAAUAAAAAUGACUUUUAAAUUGAUCUCCUUUUUACAUAAAUUAACCCAUUUGGGGUUUAAGAAGAUGACUAGAUCGAGAAGAGAUAAAUCUGUGUUUUUUAAAUCGGGACAAAGCGAUACAAAAGGUGACUGAGAGUUACAAAGCGUGCGCUCAGGUUAACCCGAGAAGGACCAUGAUUGGACAAGGAGUUCGUCCUAGGGGACACCGUCCCGACAUCCAUUGAGAAAUUGAUUUUACUAAAAUUAAACCAGAUAUAUAUGGAUACAAGUAUCUCCUAGUGUUUGUAGACACCUUCUCAGGAUGGGUCGAAGCCUUCCCCACAAAACACGAGACUACAAAAAUGGUCACCAAGAAGCUCCUCGAGGAAAUCUUUCCCAGCCCUUCUCUGAGGGCCCAUUUACAGGCCCUACAGAUUGUGCAGAGAGACGUCUGGAGACCUUUGGCCACUGCUUACCAGGACAAGCUUGAACAUCCGGUGGUGCCACACCCGUUCCAGAUUGGAGACACCGUGUGGGUGCGCAGACACCAGACCAAGAAUCUCGAGCCACGGUGGAAAGGACCCUACACCGUCCUCCUGACUACCCCGACCGCCCUAAAGGUAGACGGAGUCUCGACUUAGAUCCACGCACCACACGUCAAGACAGUCCGGUCUGAGGAAUUGACUAAUCACAACACUACACCCCAGACAUGGAGAGUUCAGCACACUCCAAACCCCUUAAAGUUAAAACUCCUACGUGGCUCCUCCUAGCCCUUUUGUGGCCUAGAGUCAGUGGGGGAAUAAGCCCCCACCAGACAGAAAUUUCUUGACCAAGUCGAGUGAAAGAUUUCACUCAAAGUUAGCAAAAAAUGGGGGAAUGAAAGACCCCAGCUUAGCAGCAGUAACGCCAUUUUGCAAGGCUAUAUUUAAGAUGACUGGUUCAGAAAAAGGUUAGAACACUGAGUACAAAGCGGCUGCCAAGCAGGAUGUGUUUGGUUGAAGGCCUGGCAACAGGACGACUGCGGUUGAGCACCUGACAAUGAAAAAAGCCCCGGGAGAGGUCCCACACCCUGGUGGGGGGCCGAGUUAGUCGUUAUGUUCCAAGAAGGUAGCUAAGAAACUUGCCCCCAGGCUGAACCCUUGGGGGGCCGAGUCAGUCCUUAUGUUUCAGGAAGGUAGCUAGGAAACUUGCCCCCGGGCUAAACCCUUGCCAUAUUAGAAUCCACCAAUUAUAUCCCUGUAACCAUGCAUCUGCUUCUGUAUGCUUGCUUCUGCUCCCCAAAAUCCUAUAAAAGCCCAUCCUUGGUUCCAUGGGGCGCGCCAGUCCCCCGAGUGACUGAAGCGCCCGCAGGUGCCUGUGCCUGUGUAUCCCGACAAUAAACCAAAUCCUCUUGCUGAUUGCA